GACGAUGGGAGCGAGCCUUAUCCGUAAUGACUGGGCGUAAAGCGUUCGUAGAUGGUUAAAAAUUCUUGAUUAAGAAAGCCAUGCUUUUAAGAGUUGAAGGUUUAUCAAAAGAGUUUAACUGGAGGAAAAAAGAGGAUGCUUGAAUUUUGCAAGGAGGGAUGGUAUCCAGAGAGCUGCAAGGAAGACCAUUUGGCAAUGGCGGGUAUCUGGUUUUUUGCUAACAUUGGGGAACGAAAGCGUGGGGAGCAAACAGGGAUUAAGAAAC
rnacentral:rRNA from 1 species